AUGCUGCUGCUGCUUUCUCGCCUGCAGCCUCUGGGGACGAGCAAGGAGCAGAGUAAGGCGUUUCCCAUCCAAUGCACCAGCCCAGAGGAGGGGGAGAGCACGCAGGGGAGGGAGCUGCCGGGUGACAGGCGGUCACAGGUGCUGCUGUUGCCUCUGAGUCACGGGAGAGGCGUCUCUGCGCCCCAACCAGCUGCUGCUCCCCCUCCCCCUCCUCAAGGCUGCUGCGGCUGCCAGCCCAGACAGAGCCAACUCCUCACAGGCGGCCUUGCUUGCAGGAGGAGCAGCCACCGAGCCGCGCAGCCGGGGGAAGGAGCAGACGCCCUGGGAAGCCUGGGCUGCUGCCUGCUACAGAUACAGAAAUCUAGAUGGAAUUUCAAAGAUAAGAGAUGGUUUUCUCAGGUUUUGGAAGUAAUAGAGUACUUGGUCACUAACUCCUCACCUGAAGGACGGUUGUAUGCUUCAACUUGGAAAGCUCUACGUUGAGGUUCUUCAGCUCUCUUAAUUCCCAGAUUCUCUUUCCCAGAAGAAAUGGACCCUGGUUGUGAGAGGCAUCCAAAUCAAUAAUGUGACAACGAUAACAUUGAAAGUCUGCUGGAGAAGAAUCGCUAAUUCUUAUCAGAAGUGGUUUUUUUGUUUUGUUUUUUAUCCCUUAUAAAACAGACCAGACCA
rnacentral:lncRNA from 1 species